AAGGUGGGGCCCGUGUACUUUGGGGAAGUAAACCCCAAACAACUAGGAGGUGGGAGCCAAAGAGGCCAAGGAAGCCCUCGGCCAAUCGCAACGCGGAAGGAGCUGAUUGACGCGGGGGUAGGGCUGCACCAAGGAGACGGAGCUCCUGGGCCCCAGUGCUUGUGGGGCGGUUCUGUGGCUCUCCAGUCUAGGGUUGUGCCCUUUCUCCUUUCUUUUCCUCACUUGUUGGCUCCGACUCCUGAGGCCUCUCUCCCUCCUUUUCCGCAGAUUGACACCGCAGUAACCAAGUGGUAAAGUUUCCUGUUGUUUGUUUCUUUUAUAACAACUUAUUUCCAUGCCUAAGGGCACUUGCUGGCUCUCACCAUUAAUCAGCACUAUCGUUGGACAGCUAUUAAGGGAAGCCAAAGGAAAAGAUAACUCCCACCGUAUACCUAAGAUCUUGUAAAAAGUCACACGUGAAGGCUGCGGUUGGGUGGAAGAACACAAAUUGCCCUGCUGUUUUUGGCAAGUGCUGCUGCAGGCUUGUGACCUUUCCAGAGAGGCUCCCUUUAAGUUUUUUUGCAGAGAAAUUUAGAAAUGAAGCACGUGGGGCGUCUCUUUUGCGAAAGAAAGGGUCGUGGGCAGCCGCUGGGUGGCAUUCGGGAUCGUCCCCGUUCGCCUCCCAGCCCAGGCCUGGCCCCAGGAGCGAAGUGAGAGAGCCCCUCUGCUCACUCCUCCUCCCCCACCCGCCCAUGCCUCUGUCCGCCAGCGGCCUUGCUCUCUCAUCAUUUGUUGUGAUUUCCAAGGGCUGGAAUCAGGGAUGAUCUAGACGCUGUCCCUGCUCGCCGUCACUCAUUCAGCAGACCAGAGCGCCGCCCUUGGCCAGAAGCUCCCCACACCCGGGAACAGGUGUUUGUGGCUAUGAAGACACCAGAGGGAACUGAGCCCAGAGGAGAGAAGCUGCCGAAGUUUUUCUGGAGUAAGGAACCACCGGUGCAGGAUCGUGCUAGCCAUGCUAAGGAAACGGGAACUUCUGCGAGCAGUGGAGAGCUCCUGGAAGAUUUCUAUUUGCAUUUACAAGGUGACUCUCCAAAUUGAACCGCUAAUGAGAGCAAAUUGGCAAAACUUUAAACCCACAAAUUGGUAAUUUAAUCCAAGAAGCCUUUGAUAGGGGUCAAGGCUACUCUUAAUUUCAUUUUGAGGGAAUUUUAAGUGGUUACAGCUCUUUUUGUAAGGCUAUUGGCAGUCUUAUUAAAUUGUAUAUAUCC